GACCACGGAAUAGUUUUUGUGGUGGAAAAAUAAAAAAACUCGAAAAACCUCUCUGCCCCAGUUAUCGAGACGCUUCACCAAACAUCUAUGUCCGGCGCCGACAAUGCUUAUGCUUGCCGGCGUCGGGAUCUCUGUCCCGUUAUCGCUUUUUAUUCCUUUAGUUUCUAUGCGUUACUGUCUCUCUGGCCAAAGUCUCAAUCUUUUCGAAUACCCUCCUUUAAACCCUUGGACGAUGGUGCUUCCAACCUCUAUGUAGUUAAGAGGUGCUUUCCGGCGAAUCCCCUCCCAUUCCAAACCCUGCUCACCUUUUCAUCGUCGAUCCUGAAUCUCGAGGAACCCCUCUUUACCAGCGACGCUCCACAUCUCAAUUCUGAAACGAAUUCUUCCGUUAUUCUCGGUUCUGAGGAAGCUAACAAAAAUCCAGGUCUGAUUUAUUACGUUCUUUAUCCUUCCAUAGUAUAUCUUUGAACCGAUUCAUAAGUACAAUUGUCCGAAGACAGCAAUUGGAACAUAGUCACUCAUCGCUGCUGCUAUGUUGGUACAAACAUCAUAUGAGAGCUUGGUCAUUAGAAUCACCUAAGAUUAACACCCAUACCUCUAUUGCUACUCCCAACCCCAAGUACCACCAACUGAACCUAGGCUUUGUUCUUUAUUUUCAAUGCAAUUAAGACUACAAGCUUUGUGUGGAAUUCCUUAACCUCCAUGGCCAAGAGAUUCAUGUGAGGGAGGACCCACCUGCUCUGUUACUGUAUUGCAUUUAUCACUUCAGGUUCAUUCUUCUUGAAACCCCCAAUCCCCCCAUUGUCCAUUCGCCUAAAGGUGGUAAGCUCGGGUAUAAUCUUUCUCUCCAAUAUACAACCGACUACAAGCUUUGUGUGGAUCUCCUUAACCUUCAUGGCUUUUGGCUUCAUGUAAGGGAGGACCUACCUGCUUUGUUACGGAUUUAUGUUUAUCAUUUGUGUUUCCCGAUUGUAGCUACACCUAAAGCAUUGAGAUAUGAGCCUAAAAGAUUAAAACACCUUAUGGGUAUGUUUUGGAACUUUCUCUUGCCGGCUAGGGUCCAAAGAUAUGUCUCCCCUGUGGAGCACCCUUCAAAAAGCUCAAUUGCAUUAUUUGCGCGAGCCGUCUAUAACCACUUGUUGGUUGAGGAUUUCGCGAAGCUCGUCUUCAUGGUCGAAUCCGCUAUGGUUCCGAUAGAUCUUUCAAACGCUGCAAGCCUCUCAAAGCUGAGCAUUCAUUUGGAAAACUCAUGGAACCACUAUUUUUAUUUUCAUUGUAUUCUUCUAGCUUUCCGUUGUAUGAACUAUCCUCUUUUGAGGACUUAAGUAAUGAAAAUCCUUGUUUGAAAAAAAAAAGAAAAAAAAAAGCCUAUAACCAAAAGACCAAUACAUGGUAGGGACAAUGCCCAAUAUCCAUAAAUCUGUUAAAACAUUAUGGCUUGGUUUACUAGACAAAUAAACUAUCUCAAUUCUCAACUUUAUUAUAUAGAAACUUAGACCUUCUCCAACGGAGGUUUUAAGGAGGAGUUUUAAGCAAAAAGUAGGAAAAAAAUAAAUCAGAAAGGAAAAAAAAACGAAGAGCUCCUCUUAUUUAGUAUACUCGAUUUCACAUAAGAGACUGUGACGUGUCACCGUAUGGUUGGAUAAAGUUUUAUUGAGAGCAAAUUUUUUUUGGCCCGAUUCUUUCUCCUUGUCUCUCUCUCGCUCUCUGUCGCCAAUCUCUCUCAAUCGUGAAUCUUACAGUUGAUUCUUCGUGUGUGUUGUCCUAGUGUUUGAUUUUGGAUCGCAUGAACGCCUUAUCAUCUUGUCUUUUUAGAUGGGUUGGGAUGGUUAUUGAAGAGUUGAACAAUUAGUAUUACUUCAUGAUUCGUAUAAUAUCGUUUUUUAGGUUUUACCGUACUUGUUUUUGGACUUGCAUUGUGUUGUGUUAAUUGGAAGAAUUAGAAUGGGGUUAUUUCAAGCAUCUUAAGAUGAGCUAGGUGCCUUUAUUCCUUGUGGGUCUCUUUAAAUUAACAUUGUGAAGAAACUGGUGAAGUUGAUCGAUAAAAAUGUCCGCAACAGACUAAGUACAAUGUCUGAUGUCGAUGGCACUCUCAUUCAGGCUUGGUUUGCAACAAGAUUUUACUAAAUGUCAAUCUUUGUUUUAGCAAAAAACAGUGUUUGAGCAAUUUUUUGUAUCACUGAUGUAAAACGUUUAUUUUUCUUUGAAUAUAAUUUAACGUUAAAUUCAAAAAAAAAAAAUUAACAUUGAAUGCCUUUGUCUGAAUUUGUGUGUAGAAUUUGACUGUUUGUUUAUCAUUGUUUUAAUCUAACAAGUCAAAUGUUUGGCAAAUGAGGUCUGAUAAAGGGAUUUGGUUGCUAUAAUAUUGGCGUGUUUAUUGUCAAUUUCACCAUUGUGCUAACUCUGGUCUUUGUUUGGUUUUGGUUUUCGGAAAAUGCUGAUCGAAGAACUUGCUAAGAUGAUUAAACGGUUUGGAUCUGUGUCCUCUUUUCAUAUUCUUCUUGGUGUUUUGCAUAUAUUUUUUAUUUCUUGUUCUUAUUUAAGUAUCUUCAAGAAGCUGGUUUAUGUUUUGCUGAGUAAGCAUCUUGUCUCUAUGUUUACAUCUCUAAUUUUAAAUUAUAUGUUGUUUUGUAAAUGAUCAGAAUGUGGAUGGCUUACAUCUUCGAUAUGGAAUACCACUGUGACUCUCCUCCUCGCUUGCUUGCUCUCUCUCUUUAUCUCUAUUUUGCCUUUUAAGAUCAUCAUCAUUUUGUUGCAAUGUUGGUUGGUUGGUUUUGCUUGGUUUUCAAACCGCACUGGCUUUAUCUGUUUUGAGUACAUUGCAAGUCUUAGUCAGGCAAUAGCCUAUUGUCAUGGAAAAUGUGUGAUUCAUAGAGACAUCAAACCUGAAAACUUGUUGCUCGAUCAUGAGGGGAGAUUGAAAAUUGCUGACUUUGGGUGGUCAGUUCAGUCAAGUAACAAGAGGAAAACAAUGUGUUAGAACCUUAGACUACUUGGCAAUGACAGAAGAAACUUAAACCUCAAGAUCAGAUCGAUCAUGACAGACUAAACUACCUCAGCUCCUAAUGAGGAUGUCUAUUUAACGGUAUGCAGAAUUCUCAAGAUCGAUCUGACUUUUCCUACUGCGCCUAAUAUAUCAGUCAGAGUACACGACCCAAAAGCUAAAUCAUUAUAUACCAACAACGACUCUCUUGCUUGACUAGUUAGUUAGUUAUUAAGCAUUAACAUGUAGUUGUUUAAAAUCUUUUCCCCA